CCCUGCUUCUCUCUCUCUCUCUCUCUCGAUCGAUUCCAGAUCUGGAUCUGGAUCUAUGGUUUUCCUCCUUAAAAUUUCACCAGAUAUGAAGAUUCUGACCUCUCAGUUCUGAUUUAGGGUAUUUUUGGUGUUAUUGCUACCUUCGUCAAGGUGUUAAGGAAUGUGUCACGUUUCUUCUGAGAUUCCAGUCGGAAUCCGAGCCGAGAUAAUGGAUGCUCUAGGGUUUAUGAAGGUUUGAUGAACUCUGCUGCGUGUACCAGCGAUACACAAAGAUCCUCUUUAAAUGGCUUCCGGUAAGACGAUUAGGGUUCCGGCGUGCUGGACUGCCAUCUCUGUCAAAAAAGAUAUGUUUUAG
rnacentral:lncRNA from 1 species